rnacentral:rRNA from 1 species
AACGCGAAGAACCUUACCUAGCCUUGACAUGCAUUGGACCGGCGCUGAAAGGCGCCUUUCCCGCAAGGGACCGGUGCACAGGUGCUGCAUGGCUGUCGUCAGCUCGUGUCGUGAGAUGUUGCGUUAAGUCGCGCAACGAGCGCAACCCCUGUCCUUAGUUGCCACCAUUCAGUUGGGCACUCUAGGGAGACAAACCCUCUUUGAGGGUGGGAAGGUGGGGAUGACGUCAAGUCAGGAUGGCCCUUACGGCUAGGGCUGCACACGUGCUACAAUGCCCGGUACAGAGGGAAGCAAUACCGCGAGGUGGAGCAAAUCCUCAAAACCGGGCCCAGUUCAGAUUGUAGUCUGCAACUCGACUACAUGAAGUUGGAAUCGCUAGUAAUGGCGCAUCAGCUACGGCGCCGUGAAUACGUUCCCGGGCCUUGUACACACCGAUAGC